rnacentral:rRNA from 1 species
GACGAACGCUGGCGGCGUGCUUAACACAUGCAAGUCGAACGGAAAGGCCCUGCAUUUGUGGGGUGCUCGAGUGGCGAACGGGUGAGUAACACGUGAGUAACCUGCCCUUGACUUUGGGAUAACUUCAGGAAACUGGGGCUAAUACCGGAUAGGAGCUCCUGCUGCAUGGUGGGGGUUGGAAAGUUUCGGCGGUUGGGGAUGGACUCGCGGCUUAUCAGCGUGUUGGUGGGGUAGUGGCUUACCCAGGCUUUGACGGGUAGCCGGCCUGAGAGGGUGACCGGCCACAUUGGGACUGAGAUACGGCCCAGACUCCUACGGGAGGCAGCAGUGGGGAAUAUUGCACAAUGGGCGGAAGCCUGAUGCAGCAACGCCGCGUGCGGGAUGACGGCCUUCGGGUUGUAAACCGCUUUCGCCUGUGACGAAGCGUGAGUGACGGUAAUGGGUAAAGAAGCACCGGCUAACUACGUG